rnacentral:misc_RNA from 1 species
GAUGAAGAACGCAGCGAAGUGCGAUAAGUAAUGUGAAUUGCAGAAUUCCGUGAAUCAUCGAAUCUUUGAACGCAAAUUGCACUUUCUGGUAUUCCGGAGAGUAUGCCUGUUUGAGGGUCAGUGUAAUAAAUAAAUCGUGGUUGUUACCACCUUUCGUGGUGACGCUUCGGAAUUGAGUCGUCUUUACCCUUCGGGUUAAAGUGACUUAAAAUUUUUUCAUACGAUUUCGAAACGUAUUUAAUGUAUUAUGUACGUUCACGAAUAUCGAAUGUUUUAUUAGGUGCGGUCAUUUUUCAUGAAUUCGCGUCUAUAAUUUUUUUUUUUUGACCUCAAAUCAGGUAAGAAUACCCGCUGAACUUAAGCAUAUCAAUAAGCGGAGGA